rfam:Dipodomys ordii contig_2050, whole genome shotgun sequence.
UGGCUCAGUGGUAGAGUGCUUGCCUAGCAUGCAUGAAGCCCUGAGUUCAAUUCCUCAG